GACGAACGCUGGCGGCGUGCCUAAUACAUGCAAGUCGAACGCAUUUUCUUUCACCGUAGCUUGCUACACCGAAAGAAAAUGAGUGGCGAAAGGGUGAGUAACACGUGGGUAACCUGCCCAUCAGCGGGGGAUAACACUUGGAAACAGGUGCUAAUACCGCAUAAUUCCAUUUACCGCAGGGAAGAUGGGUGAAAGGCGCUUUUGCGGCAGUGAUGGAUGGACCCGCGGUGUCUUGGGUGGUCGGUGGGGUAACGGCGUACCAAGGCUGCGAGGCAUAUCCGCCCGGAGUGGGUGGUCGGCCGCCCUGGGACUGAGACCCGGCCCAGACGCCUUGGGGAGGCGGCAGUAGGGCACCUUCGGCCAGGGACGCAAGACUGACCGCGCAACGCCGCGUGAGUGAAGAAGGUUUUCGGGUCGUAAAACUCUGUUGUUAGAGAAGAACAAGGAUGAGAGUGGAAAGUUCAUCCCUUGACGGUAUCUAACCAGAAAGCCACGGCUAACUACGUG
rnacentral:rRNA from 1 species